rnacentral:lncRNA from 1 species
ACAGCCAAAGGUUCCUGUCACAACAACCCAACCACAUGAUUUUUAGCAAGACUGUGACAGUACUAAAGGCAGUGUUAGAUGAGGGUGACCAUGUCCUGUGGGAUGAGGGUGACUGUGUCCUGUAUGAUGACUCAGUAUGUUCACUCCAGGACGAGAUGAGGUAUCCAAACAUGGUGGCACACACCUGGAAGUUAGGGGAAGAACAUUGUGUUAAGUUUGAAGCCAGCCUUGUCUACACUAUGAUGCCCUAUUUGAAACAAAAGCUGAUCUCAGGUUGCCUGGGCAAUCAACACACACCAGGCUGCAAACACAUGGCACUUUCAGCUCCUGUGCACUUGCAGAGUCCUACAAUGCUUCAGACACUAUAGGCAGCAGACUCAGAGCUAGGGCUAGGGGUGUUCUUACUGGAUUAAUGUCACCCAGCUUAGAAGUGGCUGGGCUAGGAGGGUUUUUGUUUUGUUUUGUUUUGUCUUUUUUUUUUGAGA